rnacentral:tRNA from 1 species
AGGUCAGUAGUUUAAUUGGUAGAGCGUCGGUCUCCAAAACCGAAUGUUGGGGGUUCGAGUCCCUCCUGACCUGCCA